UGGGGGAAGCCUUGGGGCACACCGUCCAGAGGGGCUGGCGGGUAAGAUCCAUGCUCGCUUGCUUCACCUCCAACAAAACCCUGGGUGUAAGAGCUGAGCUGACCGUCAUUUGUGUUGUCUCACAUCCUGUGGUGAGAAUCACUCAAGUGCCCGCAAACUUUGCCAGAAGAGACAUCCCCCAUUGAUCUUUCUGGACUCUGCUUUUCCUUUACUCUUCCUGUGGGAUCAUGGGAGCUCAGUAGUGCCCUUGGCAGCCCGGGUAUGUUUUCCAGUGUCACCUGUCACCCACUCAUGAGGGAUGGAAAGAACUGUGUUCACCCUGUGUGAAGUAAGGCACAGACAGCAGCCUGUUUACUUUAUUCAAAUAAUUGAUUUCUUUUCUCUGUGAAACUGAGUAGGACUACAGGAUGAAGGACAGCCCAUAUAUUAAACUCUUAAAUAAAUCCUUUGAGUUCAGAGUCCGGGUCAAGGAGAGGAACUGGUCACGGGUCUUGUCCCGGAAAUGAGGCCACCAAAAGGGCUUGUCCAUCAGUGAAGAUAGCAAAUUCAAUUCUUUUAAAAAAAAGUUCUCAAGGAGAAAAAAAUAGAAAAUUCCUAAGUUUCUGAAGCUGUAGUCGUCUCCUCCUCCAUGUCCACUCUGAAGCAUCCCAAGACAGAGGUUUUGAGUCCGUUUCCACAGAGACAAAGGCUCCACCUCUGCAGACCAAUGGCAGAACUGAGAAGAAGCAAUCAAUGUGCUUGGGUUAGUCCGACUUCUGUGUACACAUGACAUCAACUCAGACAUCUGAGUCCUGCAGAGACUGAGAAAGGGGAGGUGGUGUCAGCCUGGGGCAAUGCUGAAAUAAAGCAUUUCUGUUUAUUUUAUUUUCUAACUCUCCCCCACCCCCCAUUUUUGAGACAGGGUCUUGCUGCACAACACUGGCUGUACUGGAAUUCUAUAUACAGGCCAGGCUGGCACAGAUCUCACAGAGAUCUGCCUGCCCUUGCCUCCCCAGUAUUGGGAUUAAAGGUGUGGCCACCACAUAGGACUUAUUUGACUGUUAGUGUAUCUGUGCACAUGUGGGUGCAGGUACCCAGAGGCCAGAGGAGGACACGGGUCUCUGUCCAUCCCUAGGAGUGCACAGGCUUUAUAGAUAUAUAUUCAUACAUUCCAGAUGGCUGCAGAGAAUCUAAAUUUGAAACUGGCUCUUGUAGUUCUCACCUACAUUUUAAUCUGGUCUCAAAAAUCCUCCCUUAUUUACAAAGAAUAAAUGAGGUUCAAUUCAGAUGAAGCUCUGGUUUCCACAGCCCCACGUUCCCAAAAAUUAUGAGUUAAAUGCAAUGAGUUUUAG
rnacentral:lncRNA from 1 species